GUUGAUACAAAAAGGAACCCACCUCAAACAGGCUCAGGUAAAUUGAAAAAAUCCAUCGUUCUCAUUUAUUAAUUUGAUUUAUGAAUCUUAAUUGCCUUUUAAACUCUUUAAAUUUAUUGAAAAGAUGAUUGUUUUUUAUUUGGCAAUAAUUUACAUUGUAAAAAGCAAAUUUUGUUCUUAAAUUUGUAAUUCUUAACCAACUAACAUCAUUCUACUUAGCUCAUUGCUGCAAUUGGAAAUUUUGCUGUUUGUGGACAGUUGUUUGUCUUUGUACUGCAACAACCGAACAAAUCAAAUUUACAUCGUAAAAUUGCUUGAUCACUCUGUUAUAAUAUUGAACCCAUUUCAAUUUCAUACCAACCGGAUCCUAAUUUGUUCAAUUUCUUUUCAUCAGGCAAUUGAGUGUGGUUGGUUGCUAUUAUCUUUGAGGUGAGAUAAAGUUUUGUCUCUGUAGAUAUAUAUGUAUCUUAACAGGAACUAUGGGGGUUGUUACCAUUUUUUUUCUCUAAAUUUUUUGUUUUUUUUCAACUGCU
rnacentral:lncRNA from 1 species